rnacentral:rRNA from 1 species
GUACAAGCAGUGGGAGCCACUUCGUGUGGUGACUGCGUACCUUUUGUAUAAUGGGUCAGCGACUUAUAUUUAGUAGCAAGGUUAAGUGAAUAACGGAGCCGUAGCGAAAGCGAGUGUUAACUGCGCGUUUAGUUGCUAGGUAUAGACCCGAAACCCGGUGAUCUAGCCAUGAGCAGGUUGAAGGUUGAGUAACAUCAACUGGAGGACCGAACCCACUAACUUUGAAAAGUUAGGGGAUGACUUGUGGCUGGGGGUGAAAGGCCAAUCAAACCGGGAGAUAGCUGGUUCUCCCCGAAAUCUAUUUAGGUAGAGCCUCGGACGAAUUCCAUUGGGGGUAGAGCACUGUUAAGGCUAGGGGGUCAUCCCGACUUACCAACCCUUUGCAAACUCCGAAUACCAAUGAGAACUAUCCGGGAGACACACGGCGGGUGCUAACGUCCGUCGUGGAGAGGGAAACAACCCAGACCGCCAGCUAAGGUCCCAAAAUAUUGCUAAGUGGUAAACGAUGUGGGAAGGCAUAGACAGCUAGGAGGUUGGCUUAGAAGCAGCCACCCUUUAAAGAAAGCGUAAUAGCUCACUAGUCGAGUCGGCCUGCGCGGAAGAUGUAACGGGGCUAAGCAAUAUACCGAAGCUGCGGCAGC